rnacentral:rRNA from 1 species
UGAAUACGAGACGCUAAGGCGUCGAAGUAGUGUAUGUCAUACUUCCAAGAAAAGCUUGCACUGUCAUAGAUAAAAAACGCCUGUACCAUAACCGACACAGGUGGGUAGGUAGAGUAUACUAAGGGGCGCGAGAUAACUCUCUCUAAGGAACUCGGCAAAAUAACUCCGUAACUUCGGGAGAAGGAGUGCCUUAUUCGUAAGGUUGCAAUAACAAGAUCCAAGCAACUGUUUAUCAAAAACACAGGUCUCCGCUAAGUCGUAAGACGAUGUAUGGGGGCUGACGCCUGCCCAGUGCCAGAAGGUUAAAGAAGUUGGUUAGCAAUUGCGAAGCUGAUAACUGAAGCCCUGGUGAACGGCGGCCGUAACUAUAACGGUCCUAAGGUAGCGAAAUUCCUUGUCGGGUAAGUUCCGACCCGCACGAAAGGCGUAAUGAUUUGGAUACUGUCUCGGAGAGGGGCUCGGUGAAAUAGACUUGUCUGUGAAGAUGCGGACUACCUGCACCAGGACAGAAAGACCCUAUGAAGCUUUACUGUAACUUGAAAUUGAAAUUGGACUUUAUUCGCGCAGUAUAGGUGGGAGGCGUUGAUUAUAAUCUUGUGGGAUUAUUGGAGCCAUCAGUGAGAUACCACUCUUGUAAUGUUAGAUUUCUAACUUUGAAUCAUUAUCUGGUCAAAGAACAGUUUCAGGCGGGCAGUUUGACUGGGGCGGUCGCCUCCUAAACGGUAACGGAGGCGUACAAAGGUUUCCUCUGAACGGUUAGAAAUCGUAUCUAGAGUGUAAAGGCAUAAGGAAGCUUGACUGUGAGACCUACAAGUCGAGCAGGGACGAAAGUCGGUCUUAGUGAUCUGACGGUACUGAGUGGAAAGGCCGUCACUCAACGGAUAAAAGUUACUCUAAGGAUAACAGGCUGAUCUCCCCCAAGAGUUCACAUCGACGGGGAGGUUUGGCACCUCGAUGUCGGCUCAUCGCAUCCUGGGGCGGUAGUACGUCCCAAGGGUUGGGCUGUUCGCCCAUGAAAGCGGUACGCGAGCUGGGUUCAGAACGUCGUGAGACAGUUCGGUCCAUAUCCGGUGUAGGCGUUAGAAUAUUGAGAGGAGCCUUCUUUAGUACGAGAGGACCGAGAAGGACAUACCUCUGGUGUACCAGUUAUCGUGCCAACGGUAAACGCUGGGUAGCUAUGUAUGGAGUGGAUAACCGCUGAAAGCAUCUAAGUGGGAAGCCCACCUCAAGAUAAGUAUUCUCAUCA